rnacentral:lncRNA from 1 species
GUGAUUUCAAAAUACCUAAGUGCAUUGGUGUUGUUUUCAGGGUGGGUUACCAUGCUGCCCAAAAAAUUCACUUAAGAUCCAUCAAGUAAAAUUUUAAAUAUCCAAUCCACCCAUGAUCUGUUAAUUGGAUAAAUAGCUAAUUAUCCACUAACUAUUUUGUAUGAAUAAUAGAUACACCCAUUAGUAGUUUUAUUAUCUUUUGUUUUUCAAGACCACACUGUCCUUUCUCUCUUUUCAGUAAUGCAACUACAGCACCUGAUUGAGAACAGAAAAGCCUAUGUUUCCCCAAAUUGUUGACAGAUCAGGUCAGGUAUAUAACAGAAAAGUUCAAAAACACAGAGGUUAACUUUGCUGUGGAGGAUUCAUCAAACAAUAAAAUAACACCAACUCAAAAGUCUCAAUUUUUUGAGGAUUCAAUCAACAAUAAAAAGUGUGAAAACCCAAAAACAAUUUACAGGACAAAAAAGAAAAUCUACCUAUAAGAUGGUGUAGUGCAACAGAAAUGUUGGGAAAGGGCAGCAACAAGCGACAACACUGAUGGUGAAUAAUGAAAACAGUAAUGAACUGAUGAUGACAACAAUGCAAGAGUGAAGAGAGGGAAAUAUUCAGAACUAAGAGAAUGGCGGCAAGGUUUUGGCUAUAAAGGAGGCACAGUAACUAGCUGAGGAGUAGAUACACACGUGUCUGGUGAUCCUUCACCCACCCAAUGAAGGAAUCUAGACACCAACUGGUAUGAGAAUAAGGACUGAAUUUUAUUCAAUUGAACUGAUACCGAAAUACAAAUUACACAGGAGACUGAGUAAAAUUGAUUGAGUACAAAGGUUUCCUUCCAAGAUGUUUUGAGCUUGGUCUCUCCCUUCCCAAAAUCCACUUACCAAAAAACUGUGCCUACCCUCCCCCUUCUUCUAUUUUUUUUUUAUGUUGCUAACAACUGCCUUACGCUUGCCCCUGCUAAUAACUACUAAAACAAUUCAGUCCUACUAAAAAACCAAAAUCCUGGCUCUCCUCUUAUAAAUUUACUUAUAAGAGGCCUAACAAUACUCCCCACCAAAAGAGUCACCUUGUCCUCAAGGUGAAAAGAAUGAAAUUGCUUCAUGAUGGUUUCCACUGGUUCCCAAGUGGAUUCAAAUUCUGGCAGGUCAGUUGACUGAAUAAGAACUUUGGCAGUUCCAUGAGCAGUGUUACGCACCACUUUUAGAGCAGCUAGUGUUAUCUGCAAUUCCAAUUUUUCCGAUAACAUAGGUGGUAGAGGUUGAGGAUUUGUUGAUGGAGAGAACACCUUCAGUAAAGAAACAUGGAACACGGGGUGGAUUUUACUCUUUGGUGGAAUGGCUAACUGAAAAGCAACUACUCAAAUCUGUUUUGUGAUCUGAUAAGGACCAUAAAAACAUUGAGUCAACUUCUCAUUUCUCUUCCGAGCCAAUGAUCGUAGCCUAUAUGGCUGUAACUUGAGAUACAUCCAAUCGCCAAUAGCUAAGGAUAGUGGGGUCCUAGAUCAGUAGACAUACUUCUUCAUCUGAUUUUGUGCUUUGACCAAAUUUCCUUUGAGAUAAUGUAACAUUUGGUCUUUGUCAUAAGUCAUCACGUUCACCUCUUCCACAGUUGACGGGAUAGUGGCUGCUUUUAGAAGAUAGGGUGAGUCAUGACCAUAAAAUGCUUUGAAAAGAGUCAAUUUUAGAGAGCUGUUAUGGUUAGUGUUAAACCAAAACUCAGCCCAACUCAAGGAGUUAGGCCACUACUAAGGCUGAGUUCCAGUGAGGCAACUUGGGUAAGUCUCUAACCAUUGGUUAACCACAUUGGUUUGCCCAUCUGUUUGGGGUGGUACACAAAGCUAAACUUGAGCCUAGUGUCGGCCAAUUUGAACAAUUUUUACCAGAAGUGGUUUAGGAAUAUUUUGUCACGAUUCGAUACAAUAGAAGAGGGAAAUGCGUGCAACUUAACAACCUCGGCGAUAAAAAUUUCUACAAACUCUAUUGCGGUAAAGGGAUGGCUAAGUGCAAGGAAAUGAGCGUCUUUAGCCGAUUUAUCAACCACUACAAAGAUGACAUCUUUCCCUGAGCAUUGGGAAGCCCUUCAAUGAAGUCCAUGGAUAAAUCAACCCACACUUGGUUUGGUAUAGGUAGUGGUUGAAGAAGUUCUACGAAAGAUAAAACUUGAUAUGUGUUCCUUUGGCAUGUCUCACACGUAGCUACAUGAUAUUGGAGGUCUUUCUUUGUGCCUUCCCAAUACACAAAUCCAGAGAUUCUUUUAUAGGUUCUAAAGAAACCCGAAUGUCCCCCCACGACUGGGUAGUGAAAUUCAUGUAAACAAUAAUGGAAUUCGAGAAAACCCUUUUAGAAGCACUAACUGAUAUUUAUAAAACAACUUCUGAUUCUGAAAUUUAUAGCUUGGAUGGGAAUUAGAAUCUUGUAUCAGAUCAUGAAUUAUCCCCUGAAGCUUAGGAUCUUGAUGAAUUUCAGAUUUCCAGUCUUCUAUUUACUCAAAGUGGAUUGAGGAUGAAGUUGAAAAUGUCUUUUUCUAGAGAUAACAUUAGCCACCCCGUUCUCCUUUCCUAGUCUCUAAUGUAUCUCGAAAUCCAGACCAAUGAGUUUAGAGGUCCAUCUGAAAUCUUCCUCACUCAUUAUUCCUGGUUCAAUAAGAAAUUUGAAGUUUUUUUUAUCCGUCAGAAUUAUGAAGUGCCUAGUGCCCCCAGUUUUGCACAACCAUCACUAUCAACAUCAAUUCUCUCGUAUACUGACUUAGAUUGCCCCGAUCAAAUAGAGUCUGGCUGAGGAAAGCCACAGGCCUGCCCUCCUGCAUUAGAACCGCCCAUAGCCCUUUGUUAGAGGCUUCAAUUUCUAUAGUUAAUGUUUUGGAGAAAACAGGGAUGGUCAAUAUAGGCAACUAUGCCACCAGGUUUUUUUAAGGCAAUUUGUGCUUCUUCAUUCUACUGAAACUUAUCCUUUUUUAACAAUUGAGUCAAAGGUCUAGCUAUCUUACCAUAGUCUCUAACGAACCUUCUAUAUUAACCUAUUAAUCCAAAAAAUCCCCUCAAAGCUUUAAUAUCCUUAGGUGUUGGACAAUCCAACAUGGCAUCAAUUUUCCAUGGGUUUGCUACCACCCCCAUUUAGGAAAUGAUAUGACCCAAGUACUCCAAUUGAUUUUGGUUAAAAGUACAUUUUUUUCUUAUUGGCAAACAAUUGGUUCUCCUUCAACAAUGUCAUAAUAGCCCGUAAAUGCCUUCGUUGUUCAUCCUCGCCCUUACUGUAAACCAGAAUAUCAUCAAAGAAAACUAGCACAAAUUUCCUCAACUAUGGGUUUAGCACCUCAUUCUUAAGAGAUUGUAAGAUGGAAGGCAUUGGUGAGUCUGAAAGGCAUGACAACAAACUCAUAAUGUGCUUCAUGAGUCCUGAAAGUCGUUUUAUGAAUGUCCUCUUCCCACAUCCUGAUUUUAUGGUAACCAAAUCAUAAAUCCAACUUAGAAAAAAUCACUUCUCCUCCCAAUUCAUCAAGCAAUUCAACAAUAAUAGGAAUAGGGAACUUAUCUAGUAUGCUAAUCUUGUUAAGAGCUCGAUAAUUUACACAAAACUACCAUCCACCAUUUUUUGUUCACCGAGACUAUAGGGCUUGAAUAAGGACUAACACUUGGUCUAAUUAUACCAAAUUUAAGCAUAUCAUCUACUAACCUUUCAAUUUCAUUCUUCUGGUAGUGUGGGUACCUGAAUAGUCUCAUGUUGGGAUUAUUAGACGCUUCCUUCAACUAAAUCACAUGGCCUUGCCUUCUAAGGGGUGGUAAUCCUUGUGGUUCUAGAAAGACCGAGUCGUAUUCUUCCAAAAUUGAUUUUGUACAUGCGAAACAAAUUGUUGGUUCUGCUUUCAGCUAGCAUCAAACAGUACUUCACUAGGAAUCCUUAGCCUUGAUCACAUAGAGCCUUUAAGAGAGAUUUGAAAGAAGCUACGACUCUAUUAAAUCAGAAUCACCCUUCAAUGAGUGAUAUCUGACCACAACUAGAAUUUAAUUCACAAAAAUUUGCUCUUAUUUCUCCUAGACUAGCCAACCGUCCCAUUCCCAACACCACAUCAACUCCUCCAAGAUCAAAGACACAAAAAUCUUGUUGAAUUUGUAGACCUUACAUCACCAAAUUUACUUUAGGACAUGCCCCUUCACAAUCUAGUUUUCUCUCAUCAACCACCUCCACUGUAUAAAUGAAGGUUGCAUGCAUAUUGAGUUCUUGUUGUUGCACAAACAUGGUGGAAAUGAAAUUAUGAGGUUCCACGAUCAAUAAGUACCAUGGCUUGUCCUUUUCCAAUCUUACUCCACAACUUAAUCAUUUUCUUUUACAUAAAUCCAACAAUGCUACACAUAAUUAACUAGAGGUCUUUUAGCUGUGUCUUCCUCUACCACCGUAAUUUCUCCUCCCUCUGCAUACCCUUCUUCUUCCCUCUUGCCCAACACCAAAACAUGUAACUAUUUGUUUGCACACACCUAGCUUGGACCAAAUUUUUCAUCACACGUAAAGCAUAACCCCUUCCUAGACCUCUCUUGUAACUCUGCAUCUAUUAACCUUCUAAAGCUUCUUCCUUUGAAAGUAUUAGAAGGUUUCACCACACUUCCCUUUCCUGUAGAAAUUCCAAUUCCAGACACAUUUCAUUGUUGCUUCACUCAUGUUCCCACAUCAUUGUUCAAUUACUGAUAUACGUCCUCUUUGGCCUGCUCAUCAUACUUGUUGAAUUUCCCCCUUUUGUGGCCAACUAGCUUUGCGUCUUCCUCUACCACUGUAUUUUCUCCCUCUGCAUACCCUUCUUCUUCCCCCUCAGCCAACACCAAAACGUGUAACUAUUUAUUUGCACACACCUAGCUUAGACCAAAUUUUUCAUCACACCUAAAGCAUAACCCCUUCCUAGACCUCUCUUGUAACUCUGCAUCUAUUAACCUUCUAAAGCUUCUUCCUUUGAAGGUAUUAGAAGGUUUCACCACACUUCCCUUUCCUGUAGAAAUCCAACUCCAAACACGUUUCAUUGUUGCUUCACUCUUGUUCCCACAUCAUUGUCCAAUUACUAAUAUACGUCUUAUUUGGCCUGCUUAUCAUACUUGUUGAAUUUCCCCCUUUGGUGGCCAACUAGUUCUUCUAAUCCACUCUGUGGCACAAUCCAUUAAAUCAGCCAAGCUCUCUAUUGGAUAGAGCUUUAAUUUUUCUUUAAUUAAAUCCUUAAGCCCAUUCAUAAAGAUGCCCCUCAAGUAUGUUGGUUAUGCACUCUUUAACAGACUAGCAUAGAGUUCGAACUUCUCUAUGUAUUCUUCCACUGGAUAAUUGUUGCCGAAAAGCCUCCCAAGUUUGUUGGUACACAGAGAACUCCCACCAUUGAUACCUAGUCAGUGCUUUUCCUUCCAUCAUCACCAGUAAUUUUUCCUCUGCAGACAUCCCUUUCAAAUCAAAUUAUCUUUCCACUCUAGUUGUCCAACCAUAUGCAUCCUCUCCAUCAAAAACAGGCAUAUCCACUUUGUGUCAUCCAUCAUUAUGGCUUCCCUUUGGUUUUCGACGUUGUUCCCUUCCCCUGUCUUGCACGAAUUUCUCGCACUGAGGCAUGCCCUUCAUUUAACAUUCAACACUCGUUGCUAUUGUUUCACACAUUGCCAACAAGCCUUUGAACCCCCUCUUCAAGGCCUCCACACUCACUUCCAUGCUAAGCAUUGACACCAUGAAUGGUGUCCAAGAACAACCUGGCUCUAAUACUAGCUGAUAGACACCAACUAGUAUGAGAAUAAGGACUGAACUUUGUUCAAUUGAACUGAUACAAAGAUACAUAGGAGACUGGGUAAAAUUGAUUGAGUAUAGAGGUUUCCUUCCAAGAUGUUGAGAGCUUGGUUUCUCCCUUCCUGGAACCCACUUACAAGAAACUGUUGCUAACCCUCCCCUUCUUCUCCUUUUUUUAUUCUGCUAAUAAUUGCCUAGAGGUAGUUACACUUGCCCCUAAGAAUAAUUGCUAAAACAAUUCAAUCCUACCAAAAAAACCUAAAUCCUAGCUCUCUUCUUAUAAUAUUUACUUAUAAGAGGCCUAGCAUAAUCAUAACAUUAAAUUUAGCCAAUUAAAAAUCAAUAAAAAAAUUGGAUGGAUGAAGGUGGUGUACCAUAUAUGAUAGUGAAACCACUUUAAGGUUAUACUUUAUAUAUAAAUAAAAGGCACGUAUUAAACAAUGUAUAGUGUAAUUUGUGUAUUGUACAUAAAAUCUUGCUAGUUGGCACCCUUGUAUAUGUGAUGAUAUUUUCAUUCUUCCAAGAGUUGAUAGACAAUCAUAUAUUUAGAUCCCCACAAGCUAAAUGUGGCACCAUAUAUUUGGUAAUAAGAAAAUAAAAUAACAAAGAACUAGUAAGCAAAAAUGAGUAAGACAUGCAAAAGUGACACAAAUGGAAAAACAUUAUAAGGUCUUAUUUUCACACAAUGGUUCAAUAAGUUGAAUUUUUGGACUUUGAUGAAAAAGAAAAAAUUAAAAAAAGUGGUUAGAUUCUUAUUUUCCUACAUCAAUAAAAAUUUAUAUUAUGCAAUGUGUGUAUAUAUAUGUGUGUGUGUGUAUAUGUGUGUGUAUAGACAUAUAUAGGGUGAUUGAGAGAGAGUUUGCAAUAUGUGCUGCAGGGAAAACGUCACAAAAUUGUAACCAUACAGGGUAGCGCAAAAACUUAAAUGUUCAACAACAGCUUGAGAAGCACUUUCCAAAACCUUAUAAUCAAGAUUGUUCCCGCAUAUCAUAAUAUUAAUGAAAAAUACGACACUUUGUUUAAUACAUUCAAUUAAUACAAAGAAUGUGAAAAAUUAUAAUCUUUUCAAAUAUUUUGUUUGAGAUAAAAAAAUAAAUAAUUUUCAAGCAGGGUCACUGUAAAGAUUGUCACACUUUCAACCAAUUAAAAAUCAUCUUAGGUAUGGCCUAACUAGUAUAAAAGUCAACAAACUUAUCAUAAAUGAUUAGAUAAUUAAUCAAAUUUUAAAACAAAAUACAGACUCAAAGCGUCCUCAUUUAGACUUCUAAAGAAACUGAAAACAUGGUAAUGAUAAGAAAGGAAAAAUUUAACCUACCUACAAUCAGCCUAACAUGUGAAAAUGUCACAGCAAAAAAUGAGAUUUAAGUGAAAAAAAAAAAACUAUGUUUUUGAACUUUGUACUUUUUAUAAAACUUGGUUUUACUCGGUGCACUUUCAAAUUAAAGUCCUCCAUCUUCUCAAAAUAUUUGAUUUUAAUCCUUGUUUAUAUUUAAAUUUCAUAUUUAGUGGCGUUUUUUUUACUGUCAUAAAAUUGAGGGAAGGACAAAAAAAAAUUUUUGAAGUUCGAAGACCAAUUCAUCAAUUUGAAAGAACAAUAACAAAAUCCAAGUUCGGCAAAAGAGUAUACGGACCAAAACCAUAUCUUUCCCGAAAAUAAAUCCGUAAACACAGUAAGCACUCUUAACUGAACCAUCCCAAAGUUGAGUUAACAAACACCAAUCAAUUCCAAAAGAUAGAAAUGAAUUCGAUAAAUAAUCUCUUACCACACAAUUUUUUGCUAAAAGAACUCUUAUUAGAAAACGGAAAACUUGUUAAACCCGUGUAAAAAAAAGCAUAAAAAAAAGGUAACAUAGCCAUAUCAGUCAAAACAGAUUCAACUUUCUAGUCAAACCAUGAAAGACAGCAACUAAAAUUGCAUAUUAGUGAGGUUAGCAGAUAAAUCAAAUCAACCCAGGUAGCAGUUCACUAACAGCAUCCAUAAAUAAAUCAAAUGAACCAAAGAUGAAAGGUUUUGGACUCCAGUGAAGAAAAACACUAAACAUAUUGCAAAUCGAAAAGAAAUUGUUGAAUCUAAGGAUUUGAAUCGAACAAGUGAAGUUUGAGAUGUAGGAGAAAAAAGAGAUUGGGGAAGUUUCCAUACCUCUGUGACAAGAAAGGAUGCUAGAGAUGAGAAAAGGGAGUGAAGCUGAAACUCCCCCAAUUAGGGUAUUAAUGGUGCUGCUUGCUUCUUCAACCUCUAUUUCGU